GUGGGCUGGUGGCUGCAGGGGCUGCCCCACUGGAGCUCUCUGCUAGUCAGAGGAGGCCAGCAGAUCAAGGGGUGUUCAGGUCUGACCAAACCUGUCUGAUGAGCAAGACACCCUGCAGAUAUCAGAGUGGAAGCAGCCUAAGGCCCUCACCAGAAGCAGCUGCUCGUGUCAUUUUUCUUGCAGAGCCGGAAGAACUGUCCCUGAUCAACCAGUCAAGCCGUUCACCACCGCUCGUUUAAUUGAAUGCUCCAGUUCUUUUCAUUUCCGAAGUUAUGGUGAGAAGAACUAAGUGGAAAAUGGUGAUAAAUUACCUGAUAUGCAAAAGCGCAUUCUGCUAAAUGGAAGACAUCCUCAAUUCUGUUGGAGGGGCAGUUACUAUUGAAAUGCAUAAAUGUUUGAGACUAAAUAUUUUCAUAAUACUGUUUUCUCUCCACACCAAGUACUUUUCUCCUGUUUAUAUUGGUAGAAUAUCACAGUUUGUUUGGAUUAAAGUGUAACUUAAAUGUGCACUACAUAAAUUUUGAGAAGAGCUCUACCCCAUGAGAUUUUUUUUUUCUUUUCUUUUCUUUUUUUUUUUUUUGAGAUGGAGUCUCACCCUGUCGCCCAGGCUGGAAUGCAGUGGCACAAGCUCGGCUCACUGCAAGCUCCACCUCAUGGUUCACGCCAUUCUUCUGCCUCAGCCUCCCAAGUAGCUGGGACUACAGGCACCCGCCACCAUGCCUGGCUAAUUUUUUUGUAUUUUUAUUAGAGAUGGGGUUUCACUGUGUGUUAGCCAGGAUGGUCUCGAUCUCCUGACCUCGUGAUCCGCCUGCCUUGGCCUCCCAAAGUGCUGGGAUUACAGGUGUGAGCUACCGCACCUGGCCCCCAUGAGAUUCCUAAUAUCAUUUGUGCCAUGACAUUGUGCUACACCCAAAUGUAUAUUUUAUUUUAUCAUUUCAAAAUAAUUCAAUAAAUAUAAUUUUAAAAGCAAACAC
rnacentral:lncRNA from 1 species